UCUACACUUUCCACAGUAUGCAUCCGAUGAAGUGAGCUGUAGCUUACGAAAGCUUAUGCUCAAAUAAAUUGGUUAGUCUCUAAGGUGCCACAAGUACUCCUUUUCUUUUAACUUUGUUCAAUUACCCUAAAUUCUAACACCCUUACAAUUUCCUUAGUGCUUAAGAAUUUCAGGUGUUUGAAAAUCUUUGUUAGGACAACUUUCCACAAGUGACUAGUACUGCUAGGAGGCUUCAAAUUUGACUGCCCAAUUUGAUAUCUUUAAAAAUAACUGCUUUUUUCCAUGGGGCAGGUGCUCAGUUUCUGAAAAUCAGGCCCCUUAAGGCAUGUUGAGCUCAGCAUGCAAAAUUACUAGUCAUUUUAGAACUUUUGGGGGUUAUUGAUGUUUAAGCAUUUUUUCCUAAUUGUAACUCAUGCAGUAAAUCAGUGUCUGUAGGCCAUUAAUCACUUGAUGUUUCUCUGAAUGCCAUCCAAUUUGUUUAUCUUUGUAGAUGUGCUCUCACCACUAUAUUGUAAAGAGAUUCUUGUUCCCCUGGUCAAUUAAAUACAAGUCCUUUGGAGCCAGAUUGGGGAUCCUUUAUUCAUCCUCAGGGGCACUUAAUCACUGGCAUGGUUUAGUUGAAAUCAGUGUGACUAAUUGGAUGAGUAUGAGCGCAAUAAUAUGGCCUUUUAUUAUUUCCUGCACAUAUUAACUACUACUCCUAAGAGGGGCAGAAGUUACAAAGAGGAACUGACAGAAGUUAGAUCACAAAUCAGGAGCUACUAGUAGCAUUAAAUAGGAGAUAAAUAUCGUGCUUGUUUGUUGAGGCCUCAAGAGAAAAGGAACUGGUGGCUUGACAAAACAAGUGAUGUAUGUUCAGCACAGAUACAAAAUGAUCACACAUACAGAGUCUUCUCCUCUAGAAAAAUGAUUUUCUUCGGUGUCAUGCUAGAAGUCUGAUCUUCCACCAUUGGCGUCCAGGAAUAUGUUACCACUAACAAUGAAUGCAGGACCAGGCUCUCUGUUAGCUAGUAGAAACUCUAGUGAAUGUCAUGCCUACUUAAUUAGAGCAAUAAUCUGGUUACAAACUGCAGAGAAACUAUUUCAGUGACUGAACAAUGGAUUAAUGGCAUAUUUGGUCUGUUGAAAUGGAACAUGUGAACCCAUUCAGAGUAAUUAAAACCUGUUGGCUGUCUAGCUUCCAACUGGCAGCUUUUUGUUAAUUCUUUCUGCUUUCCUUUUGCAUGUUGGCACACCGAGCUGAUCUUUUACUAUAAUUCUUUAAAAUAAGCAGGUAAACAAUAUUUAAGUAACUUAUGAAAUAAGGGAUUUUUUCUGCACAGCAUACUCCUGAGAAUUGGGAUAGCUGGUUAUCUGCUGUGUAUGUGUCCAUCAGCGGGCAAAUGAAAGAUUUUGCUGUACUGACAGGCUUUAGUUUCUGUAAGCAAAUUAUCCAUUUUAAAUUAAGAACCUAAUUUUCUGUAAUGUUACUAACUUUCCCUAGAGCUACACGUAUUUUCACUUUGUUCCAUAAGUAUUAGAAAGAGAUGUUAGAAAAAUGAGUAAUAGAAUUUUUAUUUAGAAUAUAAAGGAAACUACCAAAAGAUUUUCACGUUAACAUUUUCCCAGUUCUACCUAUUUCUUAUCAGUAGUACAAGCAAAAUAACUAUGACUACCAGUGCAAACAGAUCCCAAUGUGGUCGCAGCACGGUGUCCAGUUUUGACAUUUUCCAACUUGAAGUAAACUGCUAGGACAGAAAGGAAGAGCUCAGCAACACAGAGAAUACUUUUUUACAUGCAAAAUAGAAGCUAUUUUUAAAAAGUGUAAAAUGAAAGCGUUAUGCUCUUUUUAAUGAGGUUUUAGACAAUGCUAGGAUUGGUAAACUUAAAUCAGGGAAAGUUGUAUAAUAUGGUAAGCACAGAAGAAUAAAGCCUAUAAUAAGAACGUAAUGGCCAUACUGGGUCAGACCAAUGGUCCAUCUAGCCCACUAUCCUGUCUUCCAAGAGUGGCCAAUACCAGGUGCUUCAGAGGGAAUGAACAGAACAGGGCAAUUUACGCAUGAUGCAUCCCCUGUCAUCUGCUCCCAGGUUCUGGCAGUUCGGGUAUAUCUACACUGCAAUUAAAAAGCUGCCGCUGGUCCGUGCCAUCUGACUUGGGCUGCAGGGCUGUUUAAUUGCAGUGUAAAUGCCCAGGCUUGGGCUGGAGCUCAGGGUCUAGAACCCUGCGAGGUGGAAGGAUCCCAGAGCUCGGGCUGCAGCCUGAGCCAGAACAUCUACACCACAGUUAAACAGUCCCUUAGCCCAAGCCCUGUGAGCCUGAGUCGACUGGCACAGGCCAGUUGGCGGUAUCUAACUGCAGUGUAGACAUACCCUUAGAGGCUUAGGACACCUAGAGUAUGGGGUUGCAUCCCAGAUCAUCUUGGCUAAUAGCCAUUAAUGGACCUAUCCUCCAUGAACUUAUCUAAUUCUUUUUUGAACCCACAAUUCUAUAAAACAGACAUUCUGAGUUUACCUGUUUUUUUGCUUUGUGUAUAGGGCAUCUGUAAUGGGGUGCACAAGUCCUGCAUGUCUCCAAGGCAGCACCCAGCUUGCUUACUGUGUGGAAAUCCCCAACAGAUUGGGAGGCAGUAUAGGAACAGCUUCAAACUACCAGUAUUGCAUGAAGGAACCAAUGCUAUUCCUAGGGAAAUUGGGAUUAUAGGUCGUAUUCCCAAACCUCAGAUUCUGAUAGGAUUUGGUGGAGUUGUUUCAGAAUAGGUGAGCAGAAGUACUUCCUUUCACUGUGUGAAGUGGAGAGACAAGCAGCUGGGUUUUCUAGUUAAUAGCUAAUCAAGGUAUGGAGGGACGUGAAGGAAUCCAUUGUGGAAAGGUUUAUUACAGUUUAAAUCUGUGUCCUGGCAAAAGAUGACUGGACUAGUCCCCUGGAUCUCAUCAGCACUAUGCUACUCCUGGGUUUUUGGGAGGAGAUUGCUUAAGAAUAAGCAAGGACCUCCUCUCCCUUCAGAUGAGCAUAAUGUGCUCCCAGGUCCUGAUGAGCUGAUGCUUUUCACCAUAAGGGCACCGCAUUGCCACUAAACUUGGCAGACUUGAAGUCAAACUACAGAUUUGAGGGGCUUCAAGUCACAUGCACUUUAAUUUACAACUAAAAUUGUGGGUUUUGCUUUUGUAGGGUGUUCUGCAUUUGUACAAAUGGAAAUUUCGGUGUGAGGAUGGGGAGAGAAUAGAUCGUGCAAUUUGUAUGACAAGUCUUAUGGUGGGCCUAUUUUUACUGAAACAGGACUUAUUAUGUAAUAUACCCAGGAUCUGGAAGAGGUGCAAAAAGCAAAUCUAAAAGUAUACAAUAGAAUGUAAAAAAGCAACUUCACAAGAAAAAUAUCGGAAUUGGCCCUGAUAAAAGCAUGUCAGUAUGUCCAAAUCCUACUUACCUUGAAAAGUUGCAUCUCACUGAAUAGAAGCUUAACUUCUAGCUUCAUACGUGCCAAGAACACUGGAAUGGAAGCAUCUGAGCUUGUUUGUGCUGCGAGGUCAUACCACCUUUUAGCCAAAUGUAUAUCCUUUAAAAAAAAAAAAAAAAAAGAGGGUGUGUGUCUCUUUUACUUAGAACAUGUGGAAUUUGCUUAAAUGAAUGUUGUGAUGCUUUAGCUAAUCUUCAAAGCAUUUCUACUGUUUGUCUUUUAGGUUUCUGCUUUUCAAGUAUUUUUGUAGCUUAGUGUAUCAUAAAGGAUAUACUAAGCUGUAAUAAUAUUUGAAACGCAUAAACCUUAGAUUCAUGUAUAAAUGUUGGCAUGAGAUAAAAAUGAAUUUUGUUUACAUUUAAUUUGUGUGCCUACUUUCUACAAACUCAUUUUCAACCCCCACAACCUCUCAGUUCAUUUGUCUUGUGUGUAUAAAUGGUCUUCUGAAUUCAGUAGGAAGUCAAGUUGAAGUCAGCAUUUGAUCCUGGAUACUUAAAAUAGGCAGUCAGACAUUUUAAAUUAUCUAAUUAAGCAGUAAUUCUUUAAAUCUAAAACUAGAAAUACAGCCACUCAAUUAUCUAGUUUUCUGACAAAAUUUAAUAACUAGAUGUAUACAAAAAUUAGUCCAUAAAUUUAAUGGACAAUUUCUUAGUCUAAUACCCUCAAUUUUAGCUAGCAUAUUCUUGUCGUGAUAGAACCAAUUAGUAACUUUGCCCCAUCAGCUACUUUCUCAGCAAGGCACAUUUUGGUAAAAUAUUUAUGUAGUUAGUAAAGUACUAGAAUCUUUCGAAAGGCAUUGAUCUAGCUAGGCUUGUCAAGUGUGGUUGCUCGUGCUGCUCAUCAUCUCUUCUUGGUUAGUUUCUCCUGUUUAGUUUAUUUUUAAUGCAUAGUUGUCUGCAAAUUUCUACUUAAUAAUUAUUAGUAAUGAGUAGAAAUUCCAUUUGGAUGCUUAUCUCAAACUUACUCUGAUCUUAGACAUCAGGCUGUAAAUAUUGCUAGUACAGGGUUUCUUCUACAAUUCCAGCACUCCUUUUUCCCCAUAAGGUCAAAAAUACUAUCCAUUCUUAACUGAACGUGCAGUAUUUCAGUUAAAGAUAGUUGAAUUAAUCUUGCCUAACUUAAAUACCACUCCAAGGUUUCAAAAUUUGAACACUAGUAUGUUUGGAUUCCACGUAGGAGAGGCUGGAAAAGGAAAUGGGUUUUAUCUCUAAUAUAAUGGUUCUCAAAGUGUGAUCCAUGGAGCUAUUAUAUCACAAUGGCAUCUGCAAGUUGUCAGACAAUUGCUGCUUCAUGUUUGCUGAAGCCUAGUCAAAGACUCUUCAGAAUGUCCAGACCAAUGAAAGGUUUCAGAGUAGCAGCCGUGUUAGUCUGUAUCCGCAAAAAGAAAAGGAGGACUUGUGAGACCUUAGAGACUAACAAAUUUAUUUGAGCAUAAGCUUUCGUGUGCUGAGCUGUAGCUCACGAAAGCUUAUGCUCAAAUACAUUUGUUAGUCUCCAUGGUGCCACAAGUCCUCCUUUACUUUUUGCAGACCAAUGAAGAAACCCAAAGAACAAGCUACUUUUUCCACCCUCAAGAGCUGCUUCAUGUCUUUAUCAGGAUUUUCUUUGGUGAAAAUUCAGUUAACCAUGGUUGUUUUCUAAGCUGAAAGUGAUCUGCAGAGAUUCAAGUAGUGGGUGUUACAGGUAAUAAGAGAAGAACUUGUAUCAAACAAAGUUCUCCUGCCAGGUAGAGCAUGGACAGUACAGAUACAGCAUGGGCAGACAGAACCAAGAAACGCCACACAGUUUAUUAAAGUGAAUUUUUGGUCCAUCUUUUGGUCUGUCUUUUACAUUACUUUUUAAUCCAACCAAGAACUUUAGUUUUCACAAGCAAGGUGUGGAAUUGAGGUUGGGAAGGGAGGUGACCACAAGAGGCUCCUUUUCCAUAUCCUGCAAUGUUUCUUGUGUAAAUCUGAGAACCCCUGUUGGAUGUAUGCAAUAAAUGUAGCAGAGUCACAAAGGAGCUAUAUUAGGAAGGUCAGCGCUGAUCACUCCUUAAGAUUAAUCUUGUUAUCUUUCCAUCCUAUUUAUCUUCAUUUU